rnacentral:rRNA from 1 species
CUAGUAGGUGGGGUAAUGGCUCACCUAGGCGACGAUCCCUAGCUGGUCUGAGAGGAUGACCAGCCACACUGGAACUGAGACACGGUCCAGACUCCUACGGGAGGCAGCAGUGGGGAAUAUUGCACAAUGGGCGCAAGCCUGAUGCAGCCAUGCCGCGUGUAUGAAGAAGGCCUUCGGGUUGUAAAGUACUUUCAGCGAGGAGGAAGGUGCUGCGGUUAAUAACCGCAGCAAUAGACGUACUCGCAGAAGAAGCCC